rnacentral:rRNA from 1 species
CUACGGGUGGCACCAGUGGGGAAUAUUGCACAAUGGGCGCAAGCCUGAUGCAGCCAUGCCGCGUGUAUGAAGAAGGCCUUCGGGUUGUAAAGUACUUUCAGCGGGGAGGAAGGGAGUAAAGUUAAUACCUUUGCUCAUUGACGUUACCCGCAGAAGAAGCACCGGCUAACUCCGUGCCAGCAGCCGCGGUAAUACGGAGGGUGCAAGCGUUAAUCGGAAUUACUGGGCGUAAAGCGCACGCAGGCGGUUUGUUCAGUCAGAUGUGAAAUCCCCGGGCUCAACCUGGGAACUGCAUCUGAUACUGGCAAGCUAGAGGCUCGUAGAGGGGGGUAGAAUUCCAGGUGUAGCGGUGAAAUGCGUAGAGAUCUGGAGGAAUACCGGUGGCGAAGGCGGCCCCCUGGACGAAGACUGACGCUCAGGUGCGAAAGCGUGGGGAGCAAACAGGAUUAGAUACCCUAGUAGUC